rnacentral:tRNA from 1 species
AGGAUAAUAGUUAACUAUAACAUUUGAUUUGCAUUCAAAAAGUAUUGAAAUAUUCAAUUUAUCUUA